UACGGAGGGUGCAAGCGUUGUUCGGAAUCAUUGGGCGUAAAGCGCGUGUAGGUGGCUUGGCAAGUCGGUUGUGAAAUCCCGGGGGCCCAACCCCCGGAACUGCAUUCGAAACUGCCCUCGCUAGAGUCCCCGGAGAGGAAGGCGGAAUUCCCCGGUGUAGAGGUGAAAAUUCGUAGAUAUCGGGGAGGAACACCAGCGGCGAAGGGCGGCCCUUCUGGACGGUG
rnacentral:rRNA from 1 species